rnacentral:rRNA from 1 species
UGCGUAGGCGGUCUUUUAAGUUUGGUGUGAAAUCUCCCGGCUCAACCGGGAGGGUGCGCCGAAUACUGAGAGGCUAGAGUGUGGGAGAGGAAAGUGGAAUUCCUGGUGUAGCGGUGAAAUGCGUAGAUGUCAGGAGGAACACCGGUGGUGUAAACGGCUUUCUGGACCAUAACUGACGCUGAAGCACGAAAGCGUGGGUAGCAAACAGGAUUAGAUACCCUGGUAGUCCACGCCCUAAACGAUGCAUAUUUGGUGUGGGCCAUUCAUUUGGUCUGUGCCGGAGCUAACGCGUUAAAUAUGCCGCCUGGGGAGUACAGUCGCAAGGCUGAA